ensembl:lncRNA novel transcript
UCUUUGUUUAUCUUAUCACCCUGGGAGGUAACUUGGGGAUGAUCACUCUCAUAUGGAUUGAUCCCAGACUCCACACUCCUAUGUACUUUUUUCUUAGGCACUUGUCCUUUGUAGAUAUUUGUUCCUCUUCUUCUGUUGUGCCUAAGAUGCUGUGUAAUAUCUUUGCAGAGAAAAAAGACAUCACUUUUCUGGGUUGUGCUGCACAGAUGUGGUUCUUUGGUCUCUUUGAGGCAGCUGAGUGUUUUCUCUGGCUGCCAUGGCAUAUGACCGGUAUGUGGCCAUCUGCAAGCCCUUGUUGUAUACGCUCAUUAUGUCUCAGCAGGUCUGUGUGCAGCUGGUGGUGGGCCUUAUGCUGUGGGCCUUAUAAGCACCAUGACCCAUAUGACUUUCACCUUUCGCCUACUCUACUGUGGUCCAAACAUCAUCAAUCACUUCUUCUGUGACCUUCUCCCUGUCCUCUCCCUGGCAUAUGCAGAUACCCAUAUUAAUAAAUGUUUACUUUUUAUCUUGGUGGGUGCCCUGGGAGUACUCAGUGGUGUGAUCAUCUUGGUCUCCUACAUUUACAUUGUCAUUGCCAUCCUGAGAAUUCGCUCUGCUGACGCGAGACGCAAAGACUUCUCC